rnacentral:rRNA from 2 species
UGUCUGCCUCAGCGUCG